rnacentral:rRNA from 1 species
CCUACGGGGAGCAGCAGUGAGGAAUAUUGGUCAAUGGACGGAAGUCUGAACCAGCCAUGCCGCGUGCAGGAAGACGGCCCUAUGAGUUGUAAACUGCUUUUGUACAAGGGUAAACUUGAACACGUGUGUUCUUCUGAAAGUACUGUACGAAUAAGGACCGGCUAAAUCCGUGCCAGUAGCCGCGGUAAUACGGAGGAUCCAAGCGUUAUCCGGAUUUAUUGGGUUUAAAGGGUGCGUAGGCGGAUUGUUAAGUUAGUGGUGAAAUGUCCGUGCUUAACCCGGGAACUGCCUUUGAUACUGUUGUUCUUGAGUGUAGAAGAGGUAGGCGGAAUGUAUGGUGUAGCGGUGAAAUGCUUAGAGAUCAUACAGAACUCCGAUUGCGAAGGCAGCUUAC